GCCAGAGGUGGGGAGCCAGGGCUGCUUCUCCUUCCACCUGGCUCGCUCUCCAUUCCGGAGGUCUAGAUGCGUGUUCGGGAUCUGUCAUUCAGUCACACAGAACAGCCACGCCAAAUUCCGGUCUUGAGAAGAAGCAGCCCGACACAUGUGUUUCUUGUGCUCCCCACUCAGCCAGUGAGGGGAUCCUGGAAAUGCUGAGCCCGCGCGGGUUCCAACCAUCCCAGCCCAAAUGCUACGGGCUGCUGGGGAGCAGAACUCAGCAGGCAGGAAUGAUCCUGGUUGAAAGUAAGAGAAAGAGAGUUCCAUCUUUCCAAUUCUCCAGGAAUCUCAAACUCCCCAGUUUUCACUGCUGUGUGCCACGUUCCAAGAGCUGACCCAGAGGGAGUCCCAUCCUGAAACAGGUGGGCACAGCUGCGUAAACACCGUCCUCACUUUCAGAUACGGUCUACCACCUGUGUCAUGAGGGACGAAGGUGUUUAACUGCCAGUGAGACAUCUUGCAGCAUGCUCUUCCUCUGUUGUGGCAACUGUGGAGCCAUUUGUUGAGAUGGAAGUGUCAUAAGAUCAAAGCAGCCUGGAGCCCUGGGGCACAGGUGUCCUAGAGAACCAUUCAGACCUACAAUGGACUUCAGCUGAAACAGUAAUAAACUUCCUUCAUGUUAAUCCAC